GGCAAACAUUGAGUAUUAUUCUAUCAGGUUCUUAUGGUUUUAGAUCAUUUUAGUUGUUGUACAAAGAUUAAUUUAACAUUUUCUCUGGAAGUAUUAAUUUAGAAAGAUAAUAUGCCGCAUUGGUGUUGUGUUUUGAAGUGUGAAAUGCAAAGUAAUCGUGAUAAAGUUAGCUUUUACCACUUACCAUCAGUGCUACAUUCUAAGCACAAAACUGAACCAAUUUAACUAAAUAAGUUAUAGUUAUCAUCUGAGAGACAACAACAAUGGUAAAAUGCAAUAAAAUAUAAAGAUUUUACUAGCAAAAUGGAAAUUCCCCUGUAAUCAUCUUAUAUCUGGAAAACCAGCCGACUUAACUGAUAAUAACAAUCCAGAUUGGGUUCCUUCAAUAAAUAUGGGGUAUAUAAACACAAUGAAAUGAGUUCCCCAAAAUCUAAAAUGGGAAUUAAGGUACCAAAGGAGAAUUAAAAGAAAAGGGUACCUACAAGAAAAAA
rnacentral:lncRNA from 1 species